rnacentral:lncRNA from 1 species
UGCUUAAUUGAAUCUGGACCGUCCGUGCACGUGCAUCUGGGCUGUCCGUGCGCUUACAUCUAGGACGUCCGUGCGCACGCUUGAUCUAGGCCGUCCGUGCGCGCGGGGACGCAUCUGGGCUGUCCAAUCGCGCGCACGCGGAUCGCCCACGUGGCCCGUUCCUAGGUUGACGUGGUCUUGCCACGCGGCAGGUCCUGGUUGGCCAGGACUGCUGAUUGGGCCGCUGACGUGGCUGCUGACGGGGCACAAUUUUUCUAAAUAACAUUUUGACCCCCGGUUU